rnacentral:rRNA from 1 species
AUUGAACGCUGGCGGCAGGCCUAACACAUGCAAGUCGAGCGGAUGAAGGGAGCUUGCUCCUGGAUUCAGCGGCGGACGGGUGAGUAAUGCCUAGGAAUCUGCCUGGUAGUGGGGGAUAACGUCCGGAAACGGGCGCUAAUACCGCAUACGUCCUGAGGGAGAAAGUGGGGGAUCUUCGGACCUCACGCUAUCAGAUGAGCCUAGGUCGGAUUAGCUAGUUGGUGGGGUAAAGGCCUACCAAGGCGACGAUCCGUAACUGGUCUGAGAGGAGGAUCAGUCACACUGGAACUGAGACACGGUCCAGACUCCUACGGGAGGCAGCAGUGGGGAAUAUUGGACGAUGGGCGAAAGCCUGAUCCAGCCAUGCCGCGUGUGUGAAGAAGGUCUUCGGAUUGUAAAGCACUUAAGUUGGGAGGAAGGGCAGUAAGUUAAUACCUUGCUGUUUUGACGUUACCAACAGAAUAAGCACCGGCUAACUUCGUG